rnacentral:misc_RNA from 1 species
AAGUCGUAACAAGGUUUCCGUAGGUGAACCUGCGGAAGGAUCAUUAUUGAAUAAACUUGGUCGAGCUGUUGCUGGUCCCUCGGGGCAUGUGCACGCUUGCCACCAAUUUUAACCACCUGUGCACCUUUUGUAGAUUGGAAACGUUUCUCGAGGCAACUCGGAUUGAGGACUGCUGUGCGCAAGCCAGCUGUUCUUGUGUUUCUCAAUCUAUGUUUUCAUAUACUCCAAAUGUAUGUAUCAGAAUGUAUUGUUAGGCCUCUGUGCCUUUAAAUCAAAUACAACUUUCAACAACGGAUCUCUUGGCUCUC